rnacentral:miRNA from 1 species
CCAGUGGAGCGGCUGUUAUAG